rnacentral:rRNA from 1 species
AGCAGCCGCGGUAAUUCCAGCUCCAAUAGCGUAUAUUAAAGUUGUUGCAGUUAAAAAGCUCGUAGUUGAAUUUCGGGAUCAAUAUAACGGUCAUGCCGUUGGUAUGCACUGUUAUAAUUGAUUUCUCACCUUCUAAAGAACCGUAAUGCCAUUAAUUUGGUGUCACGGGGAAUUAGGACUGUUACCUUGAAAAAUUAGAGUGUUUAAAGCAGGCUCACGCUUGAAUACAUUAGCAUGGAAUAAUGAAAUAGGACAUCCGAUUCUAUUUUGUUGGUUUCUAGGAUCGAUGUAAUGAUUAAUAGGGAUAGUUGGGGGCAUUAGUAUUCAAUUGUCAGAGGUGAAAUUCUUGGAUUUAUUGAAGACUAACUACUGCGAAAGCAUUUGCC